rnacentral:rRNA from 1 species
UACGUAGGAGGCGAGCGUUGUCCGGAAUUAUUGGGCGUAAAGGGCUCGUAGGCGGUUUGUCGCGUCGGGAGUGAAAACUCAGGGCUCAACCCUGAGCGUGCUUUCGAUACGGGCAGACUAGAGGUAUGCAGGGGAGAACGGAAUUCCUGGUGUAGCGGUGAAAUGCGCAGAUAUCAGGAGGAACACCGAUGGCGAAGGCAGGUCUCUGGGCAUUAACUGACGCUGAGGAGCGAAAGCAUGGGGAGCGAACAGG